CCUACGGGGUGCAGCAGUGAGGAAUAUUGGUCAAUGGACGAGAGUCUGAACCAGCCAAGUAGCGUGAAGGAUGACUGCCCUAUGGGUUGUAAACUUCUUUUAUAUGGGAAUAAAACGUUCCACGUGUGGGAUUUUGUAUGUACCAUAUGAAUAAGGAUCGGCUAACUCCGUGCCAGCAGCCGCGGUAAUACGGAGGAUCCGAGCGUUAUCCGGAUUUAUUGGGUUUAAAGGGAGCGUAGGUGGAUUGUUAAGUCAGUUGUGAAAGUUUGAGGCUCAACCGUAAAAUUGCAGUUGAAACUGGCAGUCUUGAGUACAGUAGAGGUGGGCGGAAUUCGUGGUGUAGCGGUGAAAUGCUUAGAUAUCACGAAGAACUCCGAUUGCGAAGGCAGUUCACUGGACUGCAACUGACACUGAGGCUCGAAAGUGUGGGUAUCAAACAGGAUUAGAUACCCCUGUAGUC
rnacentral:rRNA from 1 species